rnacentral:tRNA from 1 species
AAUACAGAUGUCAGAAUUUUAUGAGUUAAUUUUAAGCGUUAAAUAUGGGCUAGGGCUCUCUGUAUUA